rnacentral:rRNA from 1 species
CCUACGGGAGGCAGCAGUGGGGGAUAUUGGACAAUGGGGGAAACCCUGAUCCAGCGACGCCGCGUGAGUGAAGCAAUAUUUCGGUAUGUAAAGCUCUGUCAGCAGGGAAGAAAGAAAUGACGGUACCUGACCAAGAAGCCCCGGCUAACUACGGGCCAGCAGCCGCGGUAAUACGUAGGGGGCAAGCGUUAUCCGGAAUUACUGGGUGUAAAGGGAGCGUAGACGGUGAUGCAAGUCUGUAGUGAAAGGCGGGGGCCCAACCCCCGGACUGCUCUGGAAACUGUGUAACUUGAGUGCAGGAGAGGUAAGCGGAAUUCCUAGUGUAGCGGUGAAAUGCGUAGAUAGUAGGAGGAACACCAGUGGCGAAGGCGGAUGACUGGACUGUAACUGACGUUGAGGCGCGAAAGCGUGGGGAGCAAACAGGAUUAGAUACCCGGGUAGUC